ensembl:lncRNA
UUUUUUUUUUUUUUUUCUUUUUUAGAUCAAAAAAGAAAAGAGAGACAUUGUGACCCCCAGAAGACGCAGUGACUGAAAAUUCCCUUCUCGGUUCCCAGCCUGGCUAAUGAAAUAGCAAAAAUUUUGUCUCCUCAGAACACGUGUGUGUGGCAUCGGAUAUGUGUUCUUUGUUUGAAGCUUCUUUCUUCUGCCUCCCAUCUGAUGCUCGGGACCCGUAUAAGUUUCCUACUGGAGACACGAUGGCUGCCCCCUCUGUCUGUCCAGCCUGGCUUUGGGCAGCUUUCGCUUGAACCCAGAAAGAGAGUCUGUCUCCAAUAAGGCCUUGUUCCCUUUCUGAGCUUCACGUUUAUUCUUUGCAGAUUUCACACAUGUGAAAUCUGUGGAUGGGUUGUUGCCUGGAAGAGAGCAGAACACAAGGCUGGGGACGGGGCAGUGGUCGGGGGCUGGAGCCUGGGCUUCGUCCUCGGGCUGAGCUCUCUGUCUGUUUAAGGGUGGCAAACAGACAGAGAAUAUUGUGAGAAUAUUGGCAAAUUAUUGAAUCUGUCUUUGCCUCAAUUUCCCCACCUGGGAACCAUCCCUACUUGGCAAGACUGUUAUAAAAGUGAAAUAAGUUGGUGAAGAGAGUAGUGGUUGGGUCCUGCUUGCCCGUAGACUAUGGUUCAGCUUUUGGAUGUGGACUUACUGUUCACCAGGUGUCUGACUCCACGCUGGGGCCUGUGGACAGAAAUAACCAAACUGUUCCCUGGACCUGCAGGAACUUGGAGAAAGUGGUCUUGAAAGGGCUGUCUGGCCUUGAUUUGCUAAAAGCAGCCAAGGAAGGUUCAAGAAAAGACUUUUGAGCCGAUUUAACCAAGGACUAAUGGGAAAACCAGUAGCAGCGGUAGAGUUUCUGUUGCUUUUUUGGUGAUUUUUUUUUUAUACCAAAUAAAAUCUUUGAGGUAAAAAGACUCCCAGUAUUCAGCUGUCCCAAUACCUUUCCAGUGCACGAAGUUCUUCAAAAAAACUUGGAGCCCAAAUGCUCUCUCCACCUUGCCCUGGAGAGGACCCUUCCCUAGGGGGCAGCAUAGAGCACCAUGAGGCAGCUCUGCCUCUCCCUAAUCCCACCUCACUCUUCCUCCUUCUGCCCUCCAAUGGCCUCACACAAGAGUCUUAUCUCUGGUCCCCAAGACAGGUAUGGAAAUACGGGGACCACGUUUCCUUCCACCCUCCUUUUCCAGCCUAAAUUUCCCUGUCACCUCCCAAGUUUGAUUGCUGCACUCAAGACCCCCAGGGGGUCAAGAAUGAUGGAAAGAGAAAAAUGACAGGUCAAUGGGGGUAGAGUGACAAUGGGAAGCAGGAAUGGACCCACUGGUAGUUUACAGAUCAACAAGAAUGUCGAUGGCACAGACUGGGAAACCUAGUGGAAGCCCUUCCCCAGUAUGGCGAUGGCAGAGAAGAAAGCCUUCUGUUUCCAGUUAGGAGGGAGGUCCAGAGGACGAGGGCGCUCUGCCUUUCCCUACCUCUGUGCUUCUGGUGAAGCUUUUCUUUCUUCCUGGAAUGCUGUGCCUCGCCAGAGCUCUGCACACUCAGACCCUGCCCGUCUUUCACUGCUCAGCUGAAAUGGUGCCUCCUCCAGGAAGCCUCCCCUGAUCUCCCAGCUGGGAGUUGCUUUUCCCUCCUUCAAAUUCUCAUUGCAUUUUGUCUGGACUGCUCAUGAGACACGUAAAACUUUCCUGCCCUGUGUUUUAGGUAGGUUUGUACAGAAACACUGGGUUGCAAACUACUAGCAUGGGAUUGAUUAUGUCUUAUUCACUUGUAAAUCCUCCAUAGCAAUGAGUAUAGGGC